UUAGUGGCGAACGGGUGAGUAAUGCAUCGGAACGUACCGUGUAAUGGGGGAUAACCUACCGAAAGGUGGACUAAUACCGCAUACGCCCUGAGGGGGAAAGAGGGGGAUCGCAAGACCUCUUGUUAUACGAGCGGCCGAUGUCGGAUUAGCUAGUUGGUGAGGUAAAGGCUCACCAAGGCAACGAUCCGUAGCGGGUCUGAGAGGACGACCCGCCACACUGGGACUGAGACACGGCCCAGACUCCUACGGGAGGCAGCAGUGGG
rnacentral:rRNA from 1 species